rnacentral:rRNA from 1 species
GAUGAACGCUGGCGGCGUGCCUAAUACAUGCAAGUCGAGCGAACAGACGAGGAGCUUGCUCCUUUGACGUUAGCGGCGGACGGGUGAGUAACACGUAGGUAACCUACCUAUAAGACUGGGAUAACUUCGGGAAACCGGAGCUAAUACCGGAUAAUAUUUCGAACCGCAUUGUUCGAUAGUGAAAGAUGGCUUUGCUAUCACUUAUAGAUGGACCUGCGCCGUAUUAGCUAGUUGGUAAGGUAACGGCUUACCAAGGCAACGAUACGUAGCCGACCUGAGAGGGUGAUCGGCCACACUGGAACUGAGACACGGUCCAGACUCCUACGGGAGGCAGCAGUAGGGAAUCUUCCGCAAUGGGCGAAAGCCUGACGGAGCAACGCCGCGUGAGUGAUGACGGUCUUCGGAUCGUAAAACUCUGUUAUUAGGGAAGAACAAACGUGUAAGUAACUGUGCACGUCUUGACGGUACCUAAUCAGAAAGCCACGGCUAACUACGUG